AAGCAAUCCUCCUGCCUCGGUCUCCCAAAGUACUGGGAUUACAGGCGUGAGCCACCAUACCUGGCCAAGAGUUUUAAUACUGUCUUUUCCCAAACACUCUUAGUAAAAUGAAGCAACAGAAAUUUAAUGUCCUGAGAUUAUUGUGCCAUGAAGUGUUAGGAUGAAUGAGAUACACACACACAUACACACACGCACACACACACACUUUUUUUUGCAUAUUAGGAAAAAGUAGGGAACAGUAUGAAAGAAAUCAACAAAUAAAGUAUUUCUGCUUAAGAAUCAGAGAGUAUAUAUUUUUCAAGAAAUGCUGAAAGAAACCAUAUGCUUAGGCAUUAAACCAAAGCAUUAUGAACAUAAAAUCGUGACCUCCCAGCUCUCUCUUGUGGAUUGUAUUCAUAUUCAUUUGAAAGUGUUAGUUGAAGUCUUUAGAAUCUGGAAGAAUUUAUUAUUACUUGAAAGUUAGCGGCACUCAUUGGAGAGCAAAAUCUUGGACUCUGCCUUGUUACAUACCUAGCUAGAUAAGGUACUUUUUAAAAACCUUCCUCUUCUUAUGUGUACAAGUUGGUGUUAGACUUCUCUGGAAGAAAAAACUGUCCUAGAGGCCAAAUCUAGUCACUCUGUAGUUGGGCUGAUGAUCAGGAGACCCAGGUUUUGCCAUAUGGGUUUACACUCUGAUCUCAGCAAGUUACUUAAUCCCUUUAUGUUAAGCUUUCCACCCAUAAAGCAGAUACCUAGCCCUCUCAACUUGCAUAGACAUAUAGGUUAUAGAAUCUUAGAGCUUAAAGGUAUUCUGUAAACCAGUGUUUCUCAGCUUUGGCACUGUUGACAUUUGGAGCGGAUAAUUUUUUGUUGUGGAGAGGCUGUCUUGUGCAUUGUAGGAUGUUUAGUAACGUCUCUGGCCUCUAAAUACAAGUAGCAGUAUCCCAGUUAUGGCAGCUAAAAAUGACUGCAGGCAUCUCCAGAUGUCCCAUGGGUGGCAGUAUCCCAGUUGGGAACCACUGCUGUAAGACAGGAUUCAGCAAGAGGCAGCUGAGGCCCGGGAAUGUUCAGUCCUGCUUUAAAUCACAUCACUAUUAAGUGGUGGGAUCAGGACUAGAACUCAACUUUAUUAAUAUACUGCCAACCCGUCUCUCCAGCUUUCCCCUUAAAUUCAGAGUUUCAUUCCAUUCCAAAAGCAGUGGCGUAUGUUUAAAAUUUCAACACCAAAGCAACGAUUGACAAAUUCUCUACAUUUACCGAUGAUGUAUUACCCACCUGCUUCCAUUUUACUACCCCCAAAGCUCUUACCAUACCUUGGUAAAGAAACAUUGCUUUCCUCAUCCUUAAAUGCUUACAAAAUGCUUGGGCAACAUUUAUUAAGAGCAGUUGGAAUGGAUGGUUUGGGAGGUGUCAGUUCGCCAUUAUAAGCCGUGUAGGUGAGUGUAAGUUGGAUAUGAUCUGUGGGACAUUGAAAACUGUGGAGUUCCGUGCUAGUGAAGAGCACUAGAGGGUCUCUGGAAUUGGAUGUCUAUUUAUCAAAUAAAUCAACCUGCUGCCUUAGGUGUAUGCUGAACCUCCUUGUGUCUCCCAUUCUUUCUUUAUAUACUUUCCAGUUUAUGGUUUUUAAUAAAGGCAAAUUCUGCACACUUACUAAGCAGCACUUAGUACAUUUUGUUUGGUUGUUUAAUUCCAUAUCUGAUGUUUCAGUAUCAUAGGUUUUCAAUAUAUGGAAAUUCACUUUUGGCUUGGGAACAUGAAGGGGAAGAUACACAAAAGGAAACCUAGAUGAGAACAAGCAAGCUGAAUAAAAGUAGUUGUCAGAAAAUAAACUGAAUGAUAGGUAGGAAAGCUUUAAACUAUUAAGUAAGUGCUGUGCUUUAAAGUUAGGGGCAGUAGCCUGAACAUCUGGAUCCUGGAGUGCUUUCAAGCUCUUUGCUGAGAACAUUUCUAGAUUUCAGUGUGGUCUGGUUAGCAGAAUCUUUUCGCUGACAGCCAUGUAACAAAGUUGUCUAUCUUUUGAAAACUGCAAACUACUACAGUGUUGAAAACCUGAAAUGCUUUGCUUUGAAGGUAAGGUGCUUUAAAAAAAAAUCUAUUGAAAUCUUUGAACUCAGGUAUAAUUGGCUUGUUACGUAAUAAGAUUCUGAACAUGUAUACAUACACAAUAUGAAAGAAUUUCAAGUCCCAAACUUGAGUUUGCAAAUGAAGACAGACAUUUGGAGUAACUAUGCACCACAGUUAGGUUUACUUGCUGUUUUUCUGUUCCUCCUCUUAAGUACAUUAUAAACUACCUUAAGCUAAUGUAUUGGCUAGCUAAGAUUCCUACAGGGUUCGUUCUUUUCAUUGGGCAUCAGCAGUGUCAGUGGUGUUUUCCAUUAGAAAUGUAAUGGAACUGAGAGACACUGUGGAUUGGCUUAGAACCGAACCACAGUUAAAAGUGGUCAUUGAGGGUCGGUGAAGGAUCCCAAGAUGGCUGGACGAAAACUUGCUCUAAAAACCAUUGACUGGGUAGCUUUUGCGGAGAUCACACCCCAGAACCAAAAGGCCAUCGCUGGUUCCCUGAAGUCCUGGAAUGAGACCCUCACCUCCAGGUUGGCUGCUUUACCUGAGAAUCCGCCAGCUCUCGACUGGGCUUACUACAAGGCCAGUGUGGCCAAGGCCGGCUUGGUGGAUGACUUUGAGAAGAAGUUUAAUGCCCUGAAGAUUCCUGUGCCAGAGGAUAAAUAUACUGCCCAGGUGGAUGCCGAAGAAAAAGAAGAUGUGAAAUCUUGUGCUGAGUGGGUGUCUCUCUCAAAGGCCAGGAUUGUAGAAUAUGAGAAACAGAUGGAGAAGAUAAAGAACUUAAUUCCACUUGAUCAGAUGUCCACUGAGGACUUGAACUAAGCUUUUCUGGAAACCAAAUUAGACAAGAAAAAGUAUCCCUAUUGGCCUCACCAACCAAUUGAGAAUUUAUAAAAUUGAGUCCAGGAGGAAGCUCUGGCCCUUGUGUUACACAUUCUGGACAUUAAAAAUAAUAAUUA